GGAAUCUUGCGCAAUGGGCGAAAGCCUGACGCAGCGACGCCGCGUGGGGGAUGAAGGCCUUCGGGUUGUAAACCCCUUUCAGGAGGGAAGAAAUUGACGGUACCUCCAAAAGAAGGACCGGCCAACUACGUGCCAGCAGCCGCGGUAAUACGUAGGGUCCUAGCGUUAUCCGGAAUCAUUGGGCGUAAAGAGCUCGUAGGCGGUUCAGCAAGUCGGCUGUGAAAGUCCGAGGCUCAACCUCGGAAUUGCAGUCGAUACUGCUGUGACUCGAAUUCGGUAGAGGAGAAUGGAAUUCCACGUGUAGCGGUGAAAUGCGCAGAUAUGUGGAGGAACACCGGUGGUGAAGACGGCUCUCUGGACCGGUACUGACGCUGAGGCUCGAAAGCGUGGGGAGCAAACAGGAUUAGAUACCCCCGUAGUCC
rnacentral:rRNA from 1 species